rnacentral:rRNA from 1 species
UACGGAGGGUGCUAGCGUUGUUCGGAAUCACUGGGCGUAAAGAGCGUGUAGGCGGCCACUUAAGUCCUGCGUGAAAUCUUGCGGCUCAACCGCAAGCGGUCGUGGGAAACUGGGUGGCUAGAGUGCGGGAGAGGAGAGUGGAAUUCCUGGUGUAGCGGUGGAAUGCGCAGAUAUCAGGAAGAACACCCGUGGCGAAGGCGGCUCUCUGGAACGCAACUGACGCUGAGACGCGAAAGCGUGGGGAGCAAACAGG